CCUACGGGUGGCUGCAGUGGGGAAUAUUGGACAAUGGGGGGAACCCUGAUCCAGCCAUGCCGCGUGUGUGAAGAAGGCCCUCGGGUUGUAAAGCACUUUCAGUGAGGAAGAACGCCUGGUGGUUAAUACCCAUCAGGAAAGACAUCACUCACAGAAGAAGCACCGGCUAACUCCGUGCCAGCAGCCGCAGUAAUACGGAGGGUGCGAGCGUUAAUCGGAAUUACUGGGCGUAAAGCGCGCGUAGGUGGCUUGAUAAGCCGGUUGUGAAAGCCCCGGGCUCAACCUGGGAACGGCAUCCGGAACUGUCAAGCUAGAGUGCAGGAGAGGAAGGUAGAAUUCCCGGUGUAGCGGUGAAAUGCGUAGCGAUCGGGAGGAAUACCAGUGGCGAAGGCGGCCUUCUGGACUGACACUGACACUGAGGUGCGAAAGCGUGGGUAGCAAACAGGAUUAGAUACCCUUGUAGUC
rnacentral:rRNA from 1 species